UUACGGAAGGCAGCAGUGGGGAAUAUUGCACAAUGGGGGAAACCCUGAUGCAGCAACGCCGCGUGAGCGACGAAGGCCUUCGGGUCGUAAAGCUCUGUCUUAGCUGACGAUAAUGACGGUAAGCUAGGAGGAAGCCACGGCUAACUACGUGCCAGCAGCCGCGGUAAUACGUAGGUGGCAAGCGUUGUCCGGAUUUACUGGGCGUAAAGGGAGCGUAGGCGGUUUUUUAAGUGGGGUGUGAAAUCCCUGGGCUUAACCCAGGAAUUGCAUUCCAAACUGGAAGACUAGAGUGCAGGAGAGGAAAGUGGAAUUCCAAGUGUAGCGGUGAAAUGCGUAGAGAUUUGGAGGAACACCAGUGGCGAAGGCGACUUUCUGGACUGUAACUGACGCUGAGGCUCGAGAGCGUGGGGAGCAAACAGGAUUAGAUACCCGGGUAGUCCG
rnacentral:rRNA from 1 species